rnacentral:rRNA from 1 species
ACCAGACUCCUACGGGAGGCAGCAGUGGGGGAUAUUGCACAAUGGGGGGAACCCUGAUGCAGCGACGCCGCGUGGGUGAAGAAGCGCCUCGGCGCGUAAAGCCCUGUCAGCAGGGAAGAAAAUGACGGUACCUGAAGAAGAAGCCCCGGCUAACUACGUGCCAGCAGCCGCGGUAAUACGUAGGGGGCAAGCGUUAUCCGGAUUUACUGGGUGUAAAGGGGGCGCAGACGGCGAUGCAAGCCAGGAGUGAAAGCCCGGGGCCCAACCCCGGGACUGCUCUUGGAACUGCGUGGCUGGAGUGCAGGAGGGGCAGGCGGAAUUCCUGGUGUAGCGGUGAAAUGCGUAGAUAUCAGGAGGAACACUGGUGGCGAAGGCGGCCUGCUGGACUGCAACUGACGUUGAGGCCCGAAAGCGUGGGGAGCAAACAGGAUUAGAUACCCGCGUAG